rnacentral:tRNA from 1 species
GUGGCUGUAGCUUAAACGGCAGAGCGCUAAAAACACCGUCGCCGCCCCUUGCCCGGAAACGGGCCGAUGGAUGACGGUUAUCGAUUAGGGAUCGAGAGGUGCGGGUUCGAGCCCCGUCAGUCACC